CCCCCCCCCGGAAAUUAACUGCCACAGGGGCUGGAUUAAACCGACCAGCGGGCUGGAUUAAGCUACCGGGCCAGACUUUGGACAUGCCUGCACUAGACUGAAACAAAAGAAGAAGGGAGUUAUUUUACCGCUCUGGGAGGCAGACCCAAUAGGAACUAGAAUAUUGCUGUGCCUACAUUUCUCAACCUGCCUUGAGGUUUAAAAAGUGGGGAAAGGCACUAUCUUUUCUAAAAGGGGCAGUGUUGUUCUUCCUUCUACCUAAUACUAAUACACAGAUAAAUAGCUGACCCUUGUGGGGGGCAGAACAGUCAUAAUGCUGCUGUUGUGACAGAUCUGAUGAAGUGUGCAGUGCACCAUAUUACCCAGUUUCAUGGAAAUGGUUUUAGCUUUAAUGGCCCAAGGAUGUGGACAAGACCCUUGCAGCAGUUCAGCCAACUCCAUGCUCUGUUGACCCUUGCCCAUCAUGGCUUAUUCUGGCUAGCCAACAGGGGUUGGCUGGGUGGCUGAGAGUGUGGUUAAUGCAUCAUUAGACAAGAAAGGUAAUGGUGUAACUACUCCUUUAAAAGGGGGUCUAUGAGAACUACUGCCUAGUCACUA